GUUACAAACGUCACAUCUUUGAUAUUUUAUUUUAAAAUAAUUAUUUUAACUUAUUUCCUUUAAUAUUUCAUUAAUAAUUAUCUUCUUCUAAUUGGUUUACCCAUUUUCCCCUUUAAAAAUCGGUUGGCGCUCUCUUUUAUUACCCUCUUUUAUUAUCUUCUAUUUAAUAUAUCUCUUUCAUUUAAAUCAUCAUACUGAACAUACCUCGUAUAUUCAUACUCUCCAAAUAUCUGUAUUUUCAAUACGGAACAUGCCGCUACUUCAUAGUACUUGGUUGUCAUUUUAAAUGUCGUUUUCAAUGACAGUGUCACUUCAUCGACUUGACCCCCUACUCCCUGACAUACACUGGAAGGAAAAAAUUAAUCCUUAAAAAGGCAUGUAAUUCGAAAAAUAAAUCAUUUCUAUUUCAUCAAAUCAUCUCUUGGGUUUUUUGGAAAGAAACCACUUUUCUCCCUCCGGGAGUUUCAACAACCCUCAAAUCGCCGGCGAUACAACAACGAGGACCAUGUCAUCAGGGCUGCAACCACAUAACCAAGACUGCAACGACCAACAUCCGUAGGCCUGGUGGAAUACAACACCUACAACCCCAGAGCCCGUUGCAGAACCAGCAGCAGUACCAUACGACAUCAAGAAGAUACCAUCAGCUACCAAAAGCCAUAAGUAUAAUCCAGAAUUGUUAGUUUUUGGCAAGAAUUUGAAUACAUUUGUUAAUGCAAUUUACUAAGUCAUUUUAUUUAUUAUAUCUUUAUGAACAAUAAACAUGAUUAGUUAAAAACUA
rnacentral:lncRNA from 1 species